GGUCUGCAGCUUCACUCCUGAGCCAGUGAGACCACGAACCCACCAGAAGGAAAAAACUUCAAACAUAUCCGAACAGCAAAAGGAACAGACUCCGGACACGCCACCUUUAAGAACUGUAACACCCACUGCAAGGGUCUGCGGCUUCAUUCUUUAAGUCAGUGAGACCAAGAACCCGCCAAUUCCGGACCCAAGAUCACAAAUCUGAAACCAACCAGCAAUAUGACCCUUGGCAAUUUACCUAACACCCGCGAACCUCAGUUUCCUAACCUGUAAGUUGGGGGUGAUAAUACCAAUUUCCAAAAAGAUGUUGUGAGCAAUAAUGCAAUACUAUGAAUAAAGCAAUUGAUGGAGGGCCUGGCUAUUGCUGAUUAUCAUCAUCAAGCUCUUUGUCUAAUAGCAUUUGGGGAAAGGAAUGAAAUUCCCAGAUGAGAGACAAAGUUGACCAUCAGAGUCUGCAGAGUUUGCAUACCCACAUGGUAUCAGAGGUCUCCAGUAAACGCAGUUACUCCUGGGAUCCAUGAAGACAGGACAAACAGUGAGCUGGUAGCAGCAAAAGCUAAUCAAGUUAAUUGAGAUUCUAUGACCAGGCUCUGAUGUCAGCACAACCCAUUAUUUUGGAGAGUUCUUUCCGGCCUGAAAGUGAUGCUUAUUGCUUUAUUCACAAUCUACUGGCAAGAACUCAGCCACGAGGCCACACAUGAUCUCAAGGGAUGCCAAAAAAACAUAAAUUUAAAAAAUACAUCACAUGUAAUGAAAUGAAGCCUAGCCACCUGCCCAGGAAGAAGAGGAAAUGGGAUCAAUUAUCAUUCACCAGUGCCACACUGUCCAAGCUGGCUUCACAGAAGCCUCAGUUGAGUCAGUGCCAGCCCUACUCUCCUCCCUGGUACUUAAUGGUCUGUCAACAGCAGUGAUGCAGAAGCAAGGGUGCUGGAAUGGAGACAGGAGUCCUAGUGCUGACUGCCACUGGCUGUAUGACUCUGGCCGAGUUUGGGAGCUUUGGCUUAGUUAAAUUAACAGAGGAGACUUACAGGGAGCUUUUGCAAAGUCAGAUGUCUCUGACCAUGGAUUGGGACAUGAAUGGGAGCAGAGCUCCAUUCCAGAGUCCCCAGAGAGGAGGCACUUUUGCUCGAGCUUCACUCAGCUGUGUCCUCUGGAUGCUGGGAUAUGAGGGUGGCAUGUGGUUGGGGGCAUAUUUCACACACCAUUGAAUCUGUGAUAUCAGAUUUUUCUAUAGGAAGUAAGGAUGGGGCUGAACAGCUAAGGAGAAACUUAUUGGAAAUUCCCUUUGAGAGAAUGAAUAUAUGAAUGGAUAAUGGCCAGGCUGUAUGUUAAAAUAGAGCUCUGUCCCUCAGUCUGCAACCUCCAGUUCAGGGAGCCAAACCACAACCUUAGUAAGAGUUGGCCACAAAACAACCGGAAUGUAAUCAAUAACUGCCAGCUUCUCUAAUUUGUAUCCCUUUCCAACUUAAGACCAACCAUGGAAAGCCAAAUGUGCUCCCCUAAGCAAUCACAUAGGAUGCCCCACUUCAAGUUCUCCCACCUACAGCACCCUCCAUACCAGCAGCCUUCUAUUGGGGCAUAUCUGGAGCCUUCCCUUUAUUCACUAACAAGCUUUCCCACUCCCCUGCCUGCC
rnacentral:lncRNA from 1 species